AUAAAUUGAUGUUCUUAUUUAAGAUAUUUCUCAUUCUCACCCUAAAAAUACACUAAUACCACCAACGACAGUUAAUUGCUACUCGUUGCCAAGGGCAGUUAAAUAUCGCUCGUUAAAUGAUCAUACAACAGUUAACUUCCCCUAAGUUCUGGUUUAUUCCAUAACAGCAGCAACAGUUUUGCCAUAGUUUCAAAAGUAAAAGAAAAGUGUCUUUUCUCCCUUCGAGCAAGAAUUUCUUCAACUUCAAGCAAAUCAAGUUCAACUUCAACCUCAACUACAAUUAUGUUUGACAUGCCAAAGAGGCAGAGACUUAUCAAGGAGACGAUGACCUCCAGUGCACAUAGUGAGAGGCAGGUUGCAAACCCAAUUACUAAAAGGGGAUGCAGACGUAGGCGUGGCACAUAGGGGAUGUCCUGGACUGGUGCAUCCCAGAUAUUGAACCCUACCCAAGCCUAUGAGGAGGAGAAGUACUACCACGUUGUUGAGGAGCACUACGAGCAGCCUCAACAGCUUAAGGAGCCACACAAUGAGGAGGAGCCUGAACAUCAUGGGGCACCAAAAGCUCCAUAUUAGGUUUUGUUACCAUCAGUGGUGCCCUUAUGACCACAUUGUGAGAUAGAAUUGGCAUAAGGAGACCAACAAUUUCAAUUUACAUGUUGGGGAGAUGAUUGUCACAGUCGAAGAUGUGACAUGUACUCUUCUACACAUCCCUAUCAUAGGGAAGCUGGUGAAACAUAGCAAUCAAAGUACUUAAGAUCGAGUACGGUGUUGAGUCUGUGACGGCUUCGUUUGGUGUAACUGAGGAGGAGGUGAUUGUUGAGACAUGCUCACACUGGGGUGGCAUUAUCGGUAUUCCCUGGCUGAGGAAGUUAUACGAGAAGUACAUUAGUUAGGCCAAUGAGUUUGAGGGGCCAACAAAUUAUGAGGAGGAGGCGGAAAGAGAUAACAUACGGGAUUGUUGCUUGAGGGCUUUAUGUUGUACUUGGUCUGAUGCACCAUUUGCUCUGAUAAGAGAAAUAAACACAUUAAAGUGGUAUGUCUUGAAGGAAUGCAGAGUUUGAGCAGGGUACAUGAAUGGUCAUGGGGUGGGAUGACACUAGCUAAUCUCUACCACCGGCUUUCUGAGGCUACCGACCCUGGCAAUGACUCCAUCAGCGGAUACUUGUGUCUACUUGAGGCAUGAGCUUUGGAGCACUUCACGAGAUUAUUUCCAUAGGGCCCUAAUUCAGAUCAUGUCCCACAUUUCCUUUGUGCCAACCAUUUUGUUCCAAAAACUGGUCUUAUUUCACCGAGUCACUACCGAUGCAUCCUUAAUCGCCUGGCUAUGAAGGACGUCAUAUUUGACCCAUCCGAUAUAACAUUUGUUUCAAACAAACCGUUUGACUAAAAAAUAAUGUGCAAGUUUUCGGAAGAGAAAAAAAGGGGAAAAACAUAAAUAAUGGAUUGGCAUAAUCUAUGAAGGAAAAGAGGGGAUAAAUGAGAUUUUUCUCAUGUGCUUUUGUCAUCAGUUAUUUUCUUCAUACUUUUCCAGCUUUCCACUCCAUAGAGCUAUAACAAGCUAGUAAAGUCUUUCUGUUGAUACUAAUUUUUCUCACACGAAACACUACAAAUUCAUUUCAAGUUAUUUCCAAUUUUUUCAGCAAACCCAUUUUCUCUUUCGGGUAUACCUUCUCUAACUACUCUUUGUCUUACACUUUACACUUGUACUGUUCUUCGCAAGAAUCAAAUCAAAACAAAGGAGUUUGCCAAGUUUAUUAAUUGGUCAUCAAAGAGGCUAAAGUAGU